rnacentral:lncRNA from 1 species
GGAAGUUAAAGAAAAUCUUUGUUUUAAUUGUAUUUUUGCUUAGGGGCAAAAUGGUCUUUUACCUUUAUUUAAUUGGUGUAGAAAUUAAAUAAAGGGGUGUAGGAAUAAAAAGGGGUGUGAUUAAAUAAAAUAAAAUAAAAGAUAGAUGUAGACGUGAGAUAGAAGGAGGAGAGAUUUAGAUAGUUUUGGUUUUUAAAAUAUAAUAUUAUAAGUGAAGACAUAUUAGAGAUAAAGUUUGGUUGUUUUAUAAAUAUUAAGUCAUAGAGAGAGUGGUGGCAUUUGUGUUUUGGAAACCCUAAAUCAAAGAGAAAAAACAGAAGAAGAGAGGAGAUUGGCAUUUUCGGAGAAGGAGAGAGAGAGCAACAAAAACCCUUAGUGUAAAGAAAGAUUAAUGGUGUUUUGGGGUUGUAGAUAAAGCUCUAGGAAUGACCAAGGUAUGGGGAAGCUUACCAUUGUUUGUUGUAUGCUAUGGAUUCUCAAUUUACUUGCAUGAAAAUACUUGUUUGAUAUGUGUUAUAUGAUUAUGAUUAUGAUUAUCGGUUGUUAUUGUUGGGCAAAGGUUUGUGUGUGCAUGAGAAUGUUUUUGGUAAUAUUUGUGAUGAGUUUCCCCUAUGAAUGUAUAAUGCAUGUUUUUUUGGGUUAUCCCAACAGUGGGUUUGAUUCUAAGAGAGAACA